GGGUGAAGCAAAGAAAAGCCUGCAAGACGCACCGGUACCGCCACCACCAUUCUGGGUCUUUCCUAUCUGUCAAAACUAUAAGGGAGGAGAGUUGGUAGAGGAGAAAUAUCGAUUUUAUAGCACAAACAACCUGAUGGCACCUAUAUACAUGAAGAAGCUCAAAGGAUUGGUGAUAAAAUAUCUGAGAUUUAGCAGCGUGAUGAAUCCACAAGAAUAUUGUCUGAAAAUAAUUCCCUUUCCCAAUAGCAGUAGAGAAGAUGAGGCAGGAAAUAGAGAGUGUGCUAACUUAUCUGAUUCAAUGGCAAGGUGGAGAGCUGCCACCAAACAUCGCUGCAUUGAUGAAUUCUUUGGAUGAACAUAGCGGAAAAUAGGAAUUAGGAGUCGUGUGACCUUUUAUUUGAAGUAUAUGUUUAGUUGACUAUGUAUCUUUAUUAUCUAGUAAAAUACUUUUUUUGUGACUAGUGAAAUACUUUAUUGGUAUUAAUGUAAAUAUGUCAGUUUCUUUCGCAGUUAAAUAUAUAUGAAUU